UACGGAGGGAGCUAGCGUUGUUCGGAAUCAUUGGGCGUAAAGAGCGUGUAGGCGGCCCGGUAAGUCCGCUGUGAAAGUCGGGGGGCUCAACCCUCGAAUGCCGGUGGAUACUGUCGGGCUAGAGUGCGGAAGAGGCGAGUGGAAUUCCUGGUGUAGCGGUGAAAUGCGCAGAUAUCAGGAGGAACACCGAUUGCGAAGGCAGCUCGCUGGGACGUCACUGACGCUGAGACGCGAAAGCGUGGGGAGCAAACAGG
rnacentral:rRNA from 1 species